AGUGAACGCUGGCGGUAGGCCUAACACAUGCAAGUCGAACGGCAGCACAGUAAGAGCUUGCUCUUACGGGUGGCGAGUGGCGGACGGGUGAGGAAUACAUCGGAAUCUACUUUUUCGUGGGGGAUAACGUAGGGAAACUUACGCUAAUACCGCAUACGACCUACGGGUGAAAGCAGGGGAUCUUCGGACCUUGCGCGAUUGAAUGAGCCGAUGUCGGAUUAGCUAGUUGGCGGGGUAAAGGCCCACCAAGGCGACGAUCCGUAGCUGGUCUGAGAGGAUGAUCAGCCACACUGGAACUGAGACACGGUCCAGACUCCUACGGGAGGCAGCAGUGGGGAAUAUUGGACAAUGGGCGCAAGCCUGAUCCAGCCAUACCGCGUGGGUGAAGAAGGCCUUCGGGUUGGAAAGCCCUUUUGUUGGGAAAGAAAAGCAGCAGGUUAAUACCCCGCUGUUCCGACGGUACCCAAAGAAUAAGCACCGGCUAACUUCGUG
rnacentral:rRNA from 1 species